UGCCUUUUGUGUUACCCAUUCUUUGCAUUUACCCAAAAGAAUGUGGUGUCAAUAAAGGCAUACAUUAAAAUGUUUGGUUUGGCCUUUCCAAAGUGCCUUCUGUGGCACCUUGUCUAAAGCUCUAACCAAAUACAAGA